CUACGGGGUGCUGCAGUGGGGAAUAUUGCACAAUUGGCGCAAGCCUGAUGCAUCCAUGCCGCGUGUAUGACGAAAGCCUUCGGGUUGUAAAGUACUUUCAGCGGGGAGGAAGGGAGUAAAGUUAAUACCUUUGCUCAUUGACGUUACCCGCAGAAGAAGCACCGGCUAACUCCGUGCCAGCAGCCGCGGUAAUACGGAGGGUGCAAGCGUUAAUCGGAAUUACUGGGCGUAAAGCGCACGCAGGCGGUUUGUUAAGUCAGAUGUGAAAUCCCCGGGCUCAACCUGGGAACUGCAUCUGAUACUGGCAAGCUUGAGUCUCGUAGAGGGGGGUAGAAUUCCAGGUGUAGCGGUGAAAUGCGUAGAGAUCUGGAGGAAUACCGGUGGCGAAGGCGGCCCCCUGGACGAAGACUGACGCUCAGGUGCGAAAGCGUGGGGAGCAAACAGGAUUAGAUACCCGUGUAGUC
rnacentral:rRNA from 1 species